UCCCUGGUGGUCCAGUGGCUAAGAUUCUGCACUCCCAAUGCAGGAAGGCUGGUUCAAUCCCUCAUCAGGGAA
rnacentral:tRNA from 1 species